GGAGUCUGCAACUCGACUCCAUGAAGUCGGAAUCGCUAGUAAUCGUGGAUCAGAAUGCCACGGUGAAUACGUUCCCGGGCCUUGUACACACCGCCCGUCACACCAUGGGAGUGGGUUGCAAAAGAAGUAGGUAGCUUAACCUUCGGGAGGGCGCUUACCACUUUGUGAUUCAUGACUGGGGUGAAGUCGUAACAAGGUAACCGUAGGGGAACCUGCGGUUGGAUCACCUCCUUA
rnacentral:rRNA from 1 species